CAAGCGGUGGGAGACACAGUUAGAGAAGCUUGCCAACAUGGAUGAAAGUAAAGUUUAUAAAGUAGGAAACCUCACUCUUAUAAAUGAUGAUGAUUACUUUCGCAUAGCAAAGGGAAGUGAUGGAACUGAGGUCUUCUUGGGCCUGAGGGAUGAUGGCACUGAAGUAGCUAUAAAGAGAAUGAUCAGGUCAAACUAUCAGUUUCUCAAGAGGGAGGAAGGAUUUUUACGUCUUCCAGAGCUUGACAGUAGCUGUAUUGUGAGAUACAUGGACUUUGCAGAAGACAGUUUCUUUGGUUAUCUUGCUCUUCAGCUCUGUGAAUACACUCUGGAUGAGUACAUUAAUACACACCUGUCCAAGGACGACACUCAUGCCCUGAUUAAAAUCACUCAAGAGGUGCUCCGCAGUUUAAGUGUCCUUCAUUGUCCAACUACCAAGUCCUUCAUCGGGAUAUCAAACCUCUGUUUUGAUAGAUAUCAAUGGAAAUGCAAAAUUGGCAGAUUUUGGCAUAAGUCGCAGAUUGACAGUGGAACAAACAACUCUACACACAGUCCCUGCAGGAACAAAAUGCUGGAUGGCCAAGGAGACAUUAGACAAACAAGGCUCUGGAUAUAAGAGGAGCUCUGAUAUACAGGUGGCUGGGAUGUUGGUAUACUACAUCCUUUCUGGUGGACACCACCCCUUUGAAGGUCCACUUGGUGAUGAACUUGAACAGAAUCGAAACAUAAUCAAGGGGACUUACACACUAGAACAUGUG